rfam:Regiella insecticola BAC CTGI_APP_BA-001K06 () complete sequence.
UGACUACAACGUCGUUUGAGUAUCCUGAAAACGGGCUUUUCAGCAUGACGUUGUGGUGUAAAUUAAAUAAUAGGAGUGCAUAGUGGCCCGUAUAGCAGGCAUUAACAUUCCUGAU